rnacentral:rRNA from 1 species
AUGCUUGAUAGCGCGCAUGCUGAGGAGUUGCAACUUAGAAGACUUAAUUAUGGGGUGGUUACUCUGAUUCCUAAAGCGAAAGAUGCUGCAACUAUCAAGCAAUAUUGGCCAAUAUGUUUAUAUUAUGUUUGUUAUAAAAUUGUGACUAAAGUACUGACAAAUAGGCUUGAGAGAGUUGCAGAUAAGGUGGUGAGUAAGAGUCAGACGACAUUUAUGAAAAACGGAAAUAUUUUAGAUGGGGUGGUCACUAUCCAUGAGGUGUUUCAUGAGCUUAGGAGGACUAAACAAGAGGGGGUCAUACUAAAGCUAGACUUUAAAAAAGCAUAUGACAGGGUGAAUUGGGAUUUUCUACAAGAGUGCUUAAAAAGGGUUUUCUUUAGUGAGAAGUGGAGAGGUUGGAUUAAACAAGUGGUAGAAGGAGGUGCAGUGAGUAUCAAUAUUAAUGGAGAGGUUGGCCCAUAUUUUAAGAGCUACAAAGGAUUUUUGCAGGGUGAUCUCACCUCUUCUUUUGAAUUUGGUGGUGGUCACAGAAAAGGGGGUCACUCAAGUGUACGGCAUUCUUUGUCCGUCCAGAUCGCGGUACAUGUUCGGACUGCUCUGGAUUGUAGAGGAAUGAAUUUCAGGCUACUUUAG